AGCCAAGGAGGCGAGGACCUGAACAAUCUCCGUACAGGCUGCACACCUAAUUCCGACAUUUUACGUCAGCUAAAAGUGUGGGGAGGACUUGGAAAAGUCUGAGCAUCGUUAAAUCUGCGGAUGCUGGCGUUGACGGAACGCGGCCAGGCACCCUUCCUGUAGUUGGGAGUGUAUCUCUCUCGUGUUUGUGUCGCCGGUGUCUGGCACUUUACGUGUCACAACCCCAAUAAUGACACCAGAAGUUACCCAGUUGCAAACCAGAAAUCUGGAGAUCAUCAGUGACACCUCCCCUUUCUCAUUCCUCACUUCCUAGUCAGCCUCUGAAAUGUUGGAUCCACAGCGGCACAGUCAAGCACACAGGCCCCAGAAACCGACCACCUGGGUUCACAUCCCAACAUUGUAUAACCUUGAGUAAGUUAUACGUAUCUCUGUUCGAUGGCUGUCUCCUCUGUCAAAUAAAGAUGAUAAUAGGACCUUC